AAAAAUAUUUUGUUAGAAUGGAAGUUUUAUUGGAAUUGCCUUUGAUUCCAAUAAAGGAAAAACUUAGACAAGGACCCAGAGUUCUCAUGGCCUUUUACCAAAGGCAGAUUUGGGACUUUUGUAGUUUGCCAAUCACCAAGCACUAGCUAAAACCGGGGAACAUCUGUGUUUGCUUUUUCUUGCCAAUCUUCUGUAUUACUGCAGUAGUUAAAGAGGAAAAUCUGAAAUUGCAAGUGUAACUUACUCUCUGUCUCCAGAGAAUUUUACCUUCUGUCCCCCAUAAAUCAAUUUAUAGUGACAUGUCUUGCAGAUGGUCUGUCAGCAGCCAAACAUUUAAUGUAGCUGUCCAUAUAGCAGACAUUUAGGUUGCAGGAUAUAAUGUCCAGUUUUGUUUGUUAAACAUUCAAAUACUGGGACCACUGCUUUCAUGUAUGGUUGCCUAAUUUUAUGGAAAGAGAGAGAUCAGUGCCAUUGCACUCAGACAAAAUAGCUCUGUCAUUCCAGUUUUAGGGCUGUAGCCAGGUACACAGUGGUGUUUAAUUUCCCUGGAUUUUAGGAAUUAGCACUGUGUAUUUUCCUUCUAAAUUUAUUAACAUAACACUGAAGAGGGACUCCCUCACAAGCUGGGAUGUCAACAAGGAAAAUACAAACUGUGACACAAGCUGGAAAGUAACAGUACUUAUCACACAAAGGGGGAAAAGGAAAACAAAGUCAACUGGUAUUGACGCUGUGGCACAGGCAGGUUAAAUGUACAGAGCAGACAAUUACAGCACAAUUAGAAUUAUAGAGCUGGCUUCUCACAGUUAAAGAGAAACCUGGUAUGAGCAAUGUGACAGGAAGGGGAACUCUCCUUUCCUUUUGUCUUGUGAAAUGUUCCUUUCGCUGCUUCCAUGGACUGUUUAGUUGGGUAAUUCAUUUUCCUUUAGUAGAGAUGUUAAUUCUCUCUGCUCCACCGUAAGAAAUUCCAUACUUCAGAUGCAGAAAAAGGGUGGACUCUGAAAACUGGAAGAAAAUCUCAGUGUCUCAGCUGCUAUUAAUUUUUGCAAGUCUUUUGAGUUCAGUAUCCUUCUUCAGGCACCCUCCACAGAUCUCUCUCUCCUAAUUUUUUGGAUCCAAAGUGACUUCCUAUGAUCACUGACUCUCUGGAAGAAGUAGAAAAGAUCUGGAUGUGGACACCUGUGCUGGCUUCUCCAAUCGCUGUUCGGCUCCUUCCCAAAUGAGCUCUGAAGAUGGAAAUCCAAACUCCUAAUGAAGAACUGUGUGAUGAGUUUAUAGGAGGGGUAAGACCUCCCCAGCAGAACUGGAAUAAAUUAUUCCUAUAUAGUAAUACUGGAACACUGCUCUAUGUGAACCCUCUGGAUAAAGGCUGUAGUAUCUCAGAAUAUCUAUUUCCCCAUAGAAGGAGACAUAAUUGUUGUGAGAAAGGGGAUAUGUGCCAUGAAGUGUUCUGCACACAGAGAUCACCAUCCUGAGAUGAUGUGCCUAUCCAUAUGGAGAAUGAGAAAGACAAUAAAUACAUUAUCUGGGCAACUGGCAGAUUGUGAAGACAAAAGUGUAAUACACUUUGAGCUCCUGAAGGAUAAUAGUGGUUUGGGUGAUUUCUCAAUGGCAAGUUGUUUUCGUUUUCUUUCCUGUUGUUACCCUUAUUUGAGAAAUUGUGAGGCUUAAAAUAUUACUGCCUAAAGUUCUUUAGAAAUGCAGCGUUGUCCAAGUGUUCCUUCUGAAAACUCAGACUGAAGGAAGUAAACUCUUCCCUUGCUAUGCUGUAACUGGUAAAUAAAAUAAAUAUAGACCUGUCACCUCCCCAUGUGCUGGGGUUAAGGGUUAGUCAUCCUCUGCCCCCAGAUUUACACAGCAAUCUUUUCUUGUCAUGCUUCAGAAGUGAAGGAAUUUCUGAAGCAGCAUACUUCAACAGAAAAGCAUACUUUAGCUGAAAAAAAAAAGUGUUCAGGUGGCAGUGCAUUUGGGUUAUAAACUAUUUGUGGAUAAUGAAUUAGUCUUUCUCUAAUAAUCAAUUUGUGCAAUAUCCAGGAAA